CUCAACCUUGGAAUUGCAUUCCAAACUGAAAGACUGGAGUACGAUAGAGGGAGGUAGAAUUCAGAGUGUAGCGGUGAAAUGCGUAGAUAUUCUGAGGAAUACCAGUGGCGAAGGCGGCCUCCUGGAUUGAUACUGACACUGAGGCGCGAAAGCGUGGGGAGCAAACAGGAUUAGAUACCCUGGUAGUCCACGCCGUAAACGAUGUCUACUAGCCGUUGGGAGGCUUGACCUCUUAGUGGCGAAGCUAACGCGAUAAGUAGACCGCCUGGGGAGUACGGUCGCAAGAUUAAAACUCAAAUGAAUUGACGGGGGCCCGCACAAGCGGUGGAGCAUGUGGUUUAAUUCGAUGCAACGCGAAAAACCUUACCAGGCCUUGACAUCCAGAGAACUUUCCAGAGAUGGAUUGGUGCCUUCGGGAACUC
rnacentral:rRNA from 1 species